rnacentral:sRNA from 1 species
AUUGUCCUCAUGUCACUGUUCUUAUUGUUACUUUUACAGGCUCAUAUCUGGUGUUAGUCGGCCAGAUGAGGUGCUCGAGUGUAUUGAAAGAGGAGUGGACUUAUUUGAGAGUUUUUUCCCUUAUCAAGUAACAGAGCGGGGAUGUGCCCUGACUUUCAGUUUUGAUUACCAGCCAAAUCCUGAAGAGACACUACUACAACAAAAUGGAACACAAGAAGAAAUUAAAUGUAUGGAUCAAAUAAAGAAAAUGGAAACAACUGGUUGCAACCAAGAAAUAACAUCAUUUGAAAUUAAUCUGAAGGAAAAAAAGUACCAGGAGGACUUUAACCCGCUGGUGAGAGGAUGUUCCUGUUACUGCUGUAAGAAUCACACUCGGGCAUAUAUCCACCAUCUGCUGGUGACCAAUGAGCUGCUGGCCGGAGUCCUGCUUAUGAUGCACAACUUUGAACACUACUUUGGGUUUUUCCAUUACAUCCGGGAAGCACUAAAAAGUGACAAACUGACACAGUUGAAAGAGCUCAUCCACAGGCAGGCAUCUUGAGAUCUUGCAAAUAUAAGUCUCACUCUUCACACUG